rnacentral:sRNA from 1 species
UUAACGCUACAGCACCCAGAGCAAGAGAGCACCCAGCUUCAACCCAGACACUUAGUGAAAGGAAACUCACUGUCCACCAGGCUUCCUUUCCAUUCUCAGAUAACGCGUUACUAGAAAGCUCUUGUCCUUGUUGAGCUAACGCCACCUGCCUUAGUUUCUGCUUGCUCCGGGGUCUUGUUGACUUUCUCAGCUGAGCAGACAUGUACCAUACCUACCUGCCUCUCUGUUUUGUUUUGGGCUUGGAACAGAGCUGCAACAAGUGUGCGACGUCCUUUAAAGAUAACGACACUAAGCAUCACUGCCGAGCCUGUGGGGAGGGCUUCUGUGACAGCUGUUCAUCAAAGACUCGGCCAGUGCCUGAGCGGGGCUGGGGCCCUGCGCCGGUGCGGGUGUGUGACAACUGCUACGAAGCCAGGAACGUCCAGUUAGCUGUUACCGAGGCACAAGUGGACGAUGAAGGUGGAACACUCAUUGCUCGGAAGGUGGGCGAGGCUGUGCAGAACACUCUGGGAGCCGUGGUGACAGCCAUUGACAUACCACUAGGU